CUGGAGGACCCAGUGCCCAGCGGAGGGGGAUCAGAGGGUGGAGCCGAGCCAGGCAAAGACACGGUUUCGACUUCCUCGGUUCCAGAGUAGAUCCGCACACGGCAAGGCCAAAAACAUCUGCCCUCAACAGUGAGUUGAUCUUAAAAAAAAAAUGACCCAGAAGUCCCCACAAGACCCCACCCACCCCAUAC